rnacentral:misc_RNA from 1 species
UUAAGUUCAGCGGGUAUCCCUACCUGAUCCGAGGUCAAGAGCAAAAGUGUAGGCUUGAUGGACGCCAACGUUCCAGCAAAGGGGCGCAAAAUGUGCUGCGCUCCAAGGCUGUUUGCCGGCUGCCAAUAGCUUUGAGGCGAGUCCACGUGUAAAACAGGGACAAACACCCAACACCAAGCAGUGCUUGAAGGUACAAAUGA